CUUCACCGAGCCCAGCCACAGCGGCCGGUCUGCGUCGCGUCCCCGGCCGUAGGCGGCCAGCAGGGCCUGCGCCUC
rnacentral:antisense_RNA from 3 species